CUACGGGGGGCAGCAGUGGGGAAUAUUGGGCAAUGGGCGCAAGCCUGACCCAGCAACGCCGCGUGAGGGAAGAAGGUCUUCGGAUUGUAAACCUCUGUCCUUGGGGACGAAAAAAAUGACGGUACCCAAGGAGGAAGCUCCGGCUAACUACGUGCCAGCAGCCGCGGUAAUACGUAGGGAGCAAGCGUUGUCCGGAAUUACUGGGCGUAAAGGGUGCGUAGGCGGCAUGGCAAGUCAGAUGUGAAAUCCCCGGGCUUAACUCGGGUGGUGCAUUUGAAACUGCCAAGCUUGAGUGCAGGAGAGGAAAGCGGAAUUCCUAGUGUAGCGGUGAAAUGCGUAGAUAUUAGGAGGAACACCAGUGGCGAAGGCGGCUUUCUGGACUGUAACUGACGCUGAGGCACGAAAGCGUGGGGAGCAAACAGAAUUAGAUACCCUGGUAGUCCACGCUGUAAACGAUGGAUACUAGGUGUGGGGGACAUACAACCUCCGUGCCGGAGCUAACGCAAUAAGUAUC
rnacentral:rRNA from 1 species